rnacentral:rRNA from 1 species
CCUACGGGGGGCAGCAGUGAGGAAUAUUGGGCAAUGGACGAGAGUCUGAACCAGCCAAGUAGCGUGAAGGAUGACUGCCCUAUGGGUUGUAAACUUCUUUUAUAUGGGAAUAAAACGUUCCACGUGUGGGAUUUUGUAUGUACCAUAUGAAUAAGGAUCGGCUAACUCCGUGCCAGCAGCCGCGGUAAUACGGAGGAUCCGAGCGUUAUCCGGAUUUAUUGGGUUUAAAGGGAGCGUAGGUGGAUUGUUAAGUCAGUUGUGAAAGUUUGCGGCUCAACCGUGAAAUUGCAGUUGAAACUGGCAGUCUUGAGUACAGUAGAGGUGGGCGGAAUUCGUGGUGUAGCGGUGAAAUGCUUAGAUAUCAUGAAGAACUCCGAUUGCGAAGGCAGUUCACUGGACUGCAACUGACACUGAGGCUCGAAAGUGUGGGUAUCAAACAGGAUUAGAUACCCGAGUAGUC